UACAGAGGUCCCAAGCGUUGUUCGGAUUCACUGGGCGUAAAGGGUGCGCAGGUGGUCGGGUAAGUCUGAUGUGAAAUCCCGCAGCUUAACUGCGGAAUGGCAUUGGAUACUAUUCGGCUAGAGGGUUGGAGGGGGGACUGGAAUUCUCGGUGUAGCAGUGAAAUGCGUAGAUAUCGAGAGGAACACCAGUGGCGAAGGCGAGUCCCUGGACAACUCCUGACGCUGAGGCACGAAGGUCAGGGGAGCAAACGGG
rnacentral:rRNA from 1 species